rnacentral:tRNA from 1 species
GAGGGUAUAGCUCAGUGGUAGAGUGCAUGCUUAGCAUGCAUAAGGUCCUGGGUUCAAUCUCCACUACCUCCA